AGUGAACGCUGGCGGUAGGCCUAACACAUGCAAGUCGAACGGCAGCACAGUAAGAGCUUGCUCUUACGGGUGGCGAGUGGCGGACGGGUGAGGAAUACAUCGGAAUCUACUUUUUCGUGGGGGAAAACGUAGGGAAACUUACGCUAAUACCGCAUACGACCUACGGGUGAAAGCAGGGGCUCUUCGGACCUUGCGCGAUUGAAUGAGCCGAUGUCGGAUUAGCUAGUUGGCGGGGUAAAGGCCCACCAAGGCGACGAUCCGUAGCUGGUCUGAGAGGAUGAUCAGCCACACUGGAACUGAGACACGGUCCAGACUCCUACGGGAGGCAGCAGUGGGGAAUAUUGGACAAUGGGCGCAAGCCUGAUCCAGCCAUACCGCGUGGGUGAAGAAGGCCUUCGGGUUGUAAAGCCCUUUUGUUGGGAAAGAAAAGCAGCAGGUUAAUACCCCGCUGUUCUGACGGUACCCAAAGAAUAAGCACCGGCUAACUUCGUG
rnacentral:rRNA from 1 species